rnacentral:rRNA from 1 species
GGGGGAAAAUUAAUAAAUUAAAUUUAAUAAAAAAAAUUUUAAUAUUAAAAAGAAAAUGGGGGUUUGAGUAUUUUUAAUAGAAAAAAUUAAUAGUUUUAUAGUUAAAUAUUACUGUAAAGGAAUUUAUAAAUAAAUGAAAUAUAAUUAAUAAAAAAGUAAAUUUAAUUUAUUGUAUCUUGUGUAUCAGAGUUUAUUAAAUAAUAAUAAUUUAUUUAAAUAAAUCUCGAAUUUAAAAGAGUUAAUUAGUUAAAAAAGUUAAUGUUGUAUAAUUAUUUUAAAUAAUUAAUUAGAAAUGAAAUGUUAAUCGUUUUUAAAUAUAUCUAGUUUUUUCAGAAAAAAAUUUAAUUUUAAAUUUAAAUAAUUUUAUAAUUAUUUAAUUAAUUAUAAAAAUUUAAAUUUUAAUAUUUUAGGGGAUAAGCUUUAAAUUAAAAAUUUAUAAUUAAUAAAAUAGUUAAAAUUAAAAUUUUUAAAAUUUAUAUUGUUUAAAAAUUAUAGUUUAUUAUAAAAAAUUUUAUUUAAAAAUAAAUUUAAAUAAAAAAAUUUAAAUUUUUAUGAAAAAAUAAUUUAUAAUUUAAUAAAAUUAGAAAUAAUGAUAAAAUUAGUAUAAUAUAAUAAAUAAAAAAAAAAUUAUAAAUAAAUAAGUUAAAGGAAUUCCGCAAAAUUUUAUAUCCCCUUGUUUACCAAAAACAUGCCUUUUUGAUAAUAAUUUAAAGCCUAACCUGCCCCCUGAUAAUAUAUUAAAGGGCUGCAGUAUAUUGACUGUCCAAAGGUACCAUAACCAUUAGCCUUUUAAUUGAAGAUUUGUAUGAAAGAUUUGAUGAAAUAUAAACUGCCCCUAAUUUAUGUUUAGAAAUUAAUUUUUUAGUUAAAAAGCUAAAAUAAUAUUAAAAGACGAGAAGACCCUAUAGAGUUUUAUAUUUUGUUUAAUUAAUAUUAAACAUAUAAUUAAAUAUAUUAAUUAAACAAAAUAUUGUGCUGGGGUGAUAGAAAAAUUCAAUAAACUUUUUUUCAAAAUUAAACACAAACAAGUGGUUAGUUGAUCCAUUAAUAAUGAUUACAAGAAAAAACCACCUUACGGAUAACACCGUAAUAUUUUUUUUUUAGUACGUAUAAAAAAAAAAAGUUUGCGACCUCGAUGUUGGAUUAAGAUAAAAUUUAAAUGCAAAAGUUUAAAAUUUUGAUCUGUUCGAUCAUUAAAAUCUUACAUGAUCUGAGUUCAAACCGGUGUAAGCCAGGUUGGUUUCUAUCUUUAAUAAAGAAAAAUAUUUUAGUACGAAAGGAUCAAAUAUUUAAAAUAAUUUUAUAUAAAUGAAUGAAUAUUAAUAAUAUAGUUUU